rnacentral:rRNA from 1 species
AAUUUUUUAUAAAAUUUUAUCUUAAUAAAAAGUGAAAUUAGAUUAUUAAAUGUAAAAUUUUAUUAAAUUUUAAUAUAAUGAAGCUUAAAAAAUUGAGGUAUGAAUUAGGAUUAGAUACCCUAGUACACUUUAAAUUAAUUGUAAAAAGACUAGAAUACUAAAAGUUAUAUUCUUUAAAUUUAAAAAAUUGGGCGGUAUUUUAGUCUAGUUAGAGGAACCUGUUUUUUAAACGACAAUACACGCAUUAUCUUACUUAUUCUAGUAAUCAGUUUGUAUACCGUCAUUAUAAGAUAAUUUAAGAGAGAAUAUUAUUAAGAUCAAUAUUAUGUGAGUAUAUUAGAUCAAGGUGCAGCUAAUGAAUAAGAAAAAAUGGGUUACAAUAAAAAUUAUUUAUACGGAUUUAAUAUUUAAAUAUAUUAAUGAAGGCGGAUUUAAUUGUAAAAUAAAAUUAAUAGGUUUU